UACGGGGGGUGCAAGCGUUGUUCGGAUUUAUUGGGCGUAAAGCGCGUGUAGGCGGUUUGUUAAGUCUGAUGUGAAAGCCCUGGGCUCAACCCGGGAAGUGCAUUGGAAACUGGCAGACUUGAAUACGGGAGAGGAGAGUGGAAUUCCUGGUGUAGGAGUGAAAUCCGUAGAUAUCAGGAGGAACACCGGUGGCGAAGGCGGCUCUCUGGACCGAUAUUGACGCUGAGACGCGAAAGCGUGGGUAGCAAACAGG
rnacentral:ncRNA from 3 species